ACCAACAGGGAUUGCCUUAGUAACGGCGAGUGAAGCGGCAAUAGCUCAAAUUUGAAAGCUGGCCCCUUCGGGGUCCGCGUUGUAAUUUGUAGAGGAUGGUUCGGCGAGGGCUCCCGUCUAAGUCCCUUGGAACAGGGCGUCAUAGAGGGUGAGAAUCCCGUAUGUGAUGGGCUGCCUUAGCCAUGUGAACCUCCUUCGACGAGUCGAGUUGUUUGGGAAUGCAGCUCUAAAUGGGAGGUAAAUUUCUUCUAAAGCUAAAUACCGGCCAGAGACCGAUAGCGCACAAGUAGAGUGAUCGAAAGAUGAAAAGCACUUUGGAAAGAGAGUUAAAAAGUACGUGAAAUUGUUGAAAGGGAAGCGCUUGCAGCCAGACUUGUCCGCAGUUGCUCAGCCUGUCUCCUGACAGGCGCACUCUUCUGCGGCCAGGCCAGCAUCAGUUCGGGCGGUCGGAUAAAGACCCGGGGAAUGUAGCUCCUCUCGGGGAGUGUUAUAGCCCUGGGUGCAAUGCGGCCAGCCUGGACUGAGGAUCUCGCUUCGGCUAGGAUGCUGGCGUAAUGGCUGUAAGCGGCCCGUCUUGAAACACGGACCAAGGAGUCUAACAUCUAUGCGAGUGUUUGGGUGUCAAACCCAUGCGCGUAAUGAAAGUGAACGGAGGUGGGAACCCUCACGGGUGCACCAUCGACCGAUGCUGAUGUCUUCGGAUGGAUUUGAGUAAGAGCAUAGCUGUUGGGACCCGAAAGAUGGUGAACUAUGCCUGAAUAGGGUGAAGCCAGAGGAAACUCUGGUGGAGGCUCGCAGCGGUUCUGACGUGCAAAUCGAUCGUCAAAUUUGGGUAUAGGGGCGAAAGACUAAUCGAACCAUCUAGUAGCUGGUUCCUGCCGAAGUUU
rnacentral:rRNA from 1 species